GAGGAAUUAGUUAAAACAUAACCUUAGAAUGUCAAACUAAAAUUAUCAAUAUUGAUAUUCCUCU
rnacentral:tRNA from 2 species